CUAGCCAUAAACACCGAUUGCAACACUACCUACAAUCCGCCAGAGAACUACAAGUGAAAAACUUGAAACUCCAAGGACUUGACGGUGUCCUACCCAUACUAGAGGAGCCUGUCCUAUAAUCGAUACCCCACGCUCUACCUUACCCCUCCUCGCCACCCAGCCUAUAUACCGCCGUCGUCAGCUCACACUGUGAACGCAUCACCGUAAGCAAAACCAUUCCCCCAUUAAAACGACAGGUCAAGGUGUAGCUUAUGAAGGGGCAGUGAUGGGCUACAUUUUCUUCACAAGAAAACACCCACUGCACCAUGAAAUCCGUGCCCCCAAGGUGGAUUUAGAAGUAAACCCUGGCAAGCUAUGCCAACUUGAACAAGCCCUAGGACGC
rnacentral:rRNA from 1 species